AGAAGAGCCUUCUGAGGAAGUGAAGCCCAGACUGCUGCCUGAAGGAUGGAUGGGAGCCUCUUCAGUAAAGCACUGGGGGCACCAAACGGAGGGCUCAGUCAGAGGGAAGUGCCUGUGUUUUCUUUGGGAGAUUCUUGGAAGCAAUGUGGGUUUAUCAUUUGCAGAAAUGAAACUCCCAAGCUUAAUGUAAUCCACUGAGCAUAAACGGAUGCACAAGUGAAAGACUCUUUCCAGCAUAAACAGAUGCACAAGUGGGAGACACAUGGAGAUGACGACACCCGAUGGGUGAGUGCUCAUCUUUGACUUCUCAUGGCAAAGACAGCCUUUUCACUUGUCUUCUUUUAUGGCUCAGAGUGGCACGUGACAACUGGAGCGCUGGGGCUCAGCUGCAGGAGCUUCCGGGAGUCUGGUGAUGAUGGAACGAAUCGAUUUGAAGAAUCUAUUGUUAUUCAGCAUCAACGAGGGAAAGCCUUCAACAUUCAGUGACCAAAGAAAAAUAGUGUGACAUACAGGAAGUGUGUUUCUGUAGUGAGAGAAAAUAGAGAAUUCAUAAUUAAAUCACUUUAGUCAAUUAAUAAUUUAAGAGACAAGUUUAACACAUCCUUUGCCUUUGAUGUCGACUAGAGUUUAACGUAUUAAUUGCCCCAAUCAGUUGUGAAAUAAUGCAAAUUUAAUUCUGAAACUGC